CCUGACCAGAGUUGCUAGUUCUGUCUGCUAAAAAGGUUUAAAAAAUUAUACUCAACUCCAAAGAGCAGCCAGAGAGAGCACGAGAUGAAGCUGCACGUGAGUUUCUUGCUGUAUUUUACACUCUGCUCUUGGUUGCUGCUCUGCUGCAGCCCUGUCUGACACCUCAGCAUGCCAGCUGCCCUCAUUUUGCACAACAACCAUGUCCCAAUUACUGCAGUUGAUGUUGUGAUGCUGUUUAUAUCUGUUUUCUGGCUGGGAACUCAGAGGCAUCACCUUUCCUCAGGUCUGUGCCUGGUGACUCUGGGCUGGAGUGUUCUGCUGUGGCUGGACAGUCCCAGCCCCCAGUAUUUGUCUUUUGCCAGUCUCCCCCUCUCACCCUGCAGGCACUUAGAAGAGGAUCCGAUCGCAGCUGAAUUGUACAAGCCUGCUUCUUACUACAUUAAAUGACAGCAAGGUUUCUGCCACUUCUGAUGGCAAGACAAUUCUUUGUUUGGUAAAUAUUGAGAGCUGUCUGUCCUUGGUGUGUGCUUAGAACAAACUGCAGGUGCUCUACAGAUGGAGACCAUUUGAUGUCCUCUGCAUCAGGACUUGCAUUUGACAGAUGAAGGGCAGGAUGAAGAAGCACCAGAGAGGCAAUCAAUCACCUCCUUGCUCAGUUACAGCUGCCUUUGGACCAGGGCUGACAUCUGGAAGCACCCACACCACUUAAGCCUGCUCUCUCCCAGGGCCCUGCCUUUGCAUGAGGUUUUGAUUUACUGUUUACUAUUUCAGGCUUGUAACAAGUAGGCAUCCCAAAGCCUUUUAGACACACUUACUGUCUGAGUCAGAUAGUCCAAGAGGUCAUGUACAGAUUGAGACUGAACAGUGAAACAUCUGCAUACGCUUAACCUUGCUUCACUUCUGGCAUUGCUCUUGAGUGUUAUUUGGGCUUUGAUCAGACCUAUUUAUUCAGCCCAAGAUCUUUCCUGUUCCUUAAUAUCCUUUCACAUGCCUGCUUCUCCAGACUCUGGAGUCUCCCCGUGUUUCUGAAGUCAGGUUUUGCAUCUGCCUUUUCACUUUUAAUCCAAAAUGGCCAGUGGGAACAGCAUGUUUUUGUAACUGUAGGUCCUCUUUGUCAAGGGGUUAGUUGACAAGACAAUACAUAUACCCUCAGGAGCUGAUCUGUUUGUCAGACUCGAAAAACUGGUUCAUCUCAACAAUAGCCAUUUCUUUGUGCAAGGGACUCUGUCUGAAUGACAUGGGCAAUUAUCUAUUUAGAGUGCAAAUAACCUCCAUUUUCAUAACACAUUUUGCAGCUGUGCAAAACCAACCCAUGGUACAUAGAUUCCCAAAACAUGGAACCUGGCUUUUAUUGCCCUGUUAACUGUUUACCAGCAUCUUUGUCUCAUGAGCUAUGGACUUUUCUGCCCUGGGUGUGCUGAAAAACAGCACACGCUUCAGGCUCCUAAGAAGUUUCUAAAUUGAGCACUAGAUAUUUUUAUCAAAGACCAGAGUCAAACUUAAAUCUUUCACUAGUAGACGGAAGCCUCUUAGGAAUGAAAUUUACAAUGCCAAGAUUUCUCUAUAUGCAUAUAUCCCUUACGAUACUGUCCUAACUAGAAGCUGCUAUAAUUCAUUUUAUUUUGCAGAGCUUUCUGGUGAAUUAUUUUCUUUCUCAGUAAUUUCUCCGUUUAGGAACCCUCCUGAGAAAUCUUUGCUGUAUUAGCUUGAGCUUUGCGGCAUCUUUAUCUUUAAA